AGGACGAACGCUGGCGGCGUGCUUAACACAUGCAAGUCGAACGGUUCAGGGGAGCUUGCUUUCCUGGUUAGUGGCGAACGGGUGAGUAACACGUGAGUAACCUGCCCUUCACUCUGGGAUAACUCCGGGAAACCGGGGCUAAUACUGGAUACGACUCGAACAGGCAUCUGUAUCGGGUGGAAAGAUUUAUUGGUGGAGGAUGGACUCGCGGCCUAUCAGCUUGUUGGUGAGGUAAUGGCUCACCAAGGCGACGACGGGUAGCCGGGCCUGGAGAGGGGCGAGUCGGACCGACGACUGGGACUGAGACACGGCCCAGACUCCUACGGGAGGCAGCAGUGGGGAAUAUUGCACAAUGGGCAAAGCCUGAUGCAGCGACGCGCGUGAGGGAUGAAGGCCUUCGGGUUGUAAACCUCUUUCAGCAGGAAGAAGCAGCUGGUUUCUCAGGUGUGACGGUACCUGCAGAAGAGCACGGCUAACGUACGUGACCAGCAGCCG
rnacentral:rRNA from 1 species